AAAAGAAGGAGGAUGAUGACUGGCUCCUGAGUGGAGUACCAAAGUUGACAGAAGAGCGAUCUGUGGUCGAUUUAGCUAAAUCGACCUUGGUGUAUUAAUCACUGCAGCGUCAAUUCCUGCAGCUAUGAAAACGUUAACCUAAGACCAUCUACCCCAGGGCAUUGGCAUUGGAUGCACCUGCAACAUCUGUCAACGAGUCUGUGGCUGAAGAAAUGGACUCCUUAGUCACCAAAGGGCCCAUGAAAAAUAAAACCUGUGGAAGAGAUCAUCCUCGAGGGAUUGCAGAUGACUGGGCCCAAUUCAAUGGGACUCCAGAGUUAAAUGUAGCAACCUGUGCAGCCUCUAGAACCCACUCAAGGUUUAGAGGUGAAAUGUCUCUGCUAAAAAAAUAAAUGCAGAACU